rnacentral:snoRNA from 1 species
UCACUGUGAUGAUUGUCUUCUAGCCAUUCGUAGUUUCCACCAGAAAGGUUUUUCCUUUGUGUUGGUCAAACCUUCCUUGGAUGUCUGAGUGA